rnacentral:tRNA from 1 species
AAGGUUUUAAGUUAUAAAAACUAUAAGCCUUCAAAGCUUAAAAUAAAGAAAAUUCUUUAAACCUUG